UACAGAGGGGGCAAGCGUUGUUCGGAAUUACUGGGCGUAAAGGGCGCGUAGGUGGCCUUCUAAGUUGAACGUGAAAUCCCUGGGCUCAACCCAGGAACUGCGUCCAAGACUGGGAGGCUUGAAUCCGGGAGAGGGAUGCGGAAUUCCAGGUGUAGCGGUGAAAUGCGUAGAUAUCUGGAGGAACACCGGUGGCGAAGGCGGGUUGCUGGGCUGAUACUGACGCUGAGGCGCGAAAGCCAGGGGAGCGAACGGG
rnacentral:rRNA from 1 species